UACAACGCCUAGGAAGAUCUCUGGAGCAUGUUAAAGAUAUCAAAUCUUAUAUUGAUGGAGCACUUAAGGUGAGACAGUUAUUAUUACACAAAAACAUUUUCAACAAUUGAAAAGUCCAGACAACUUUUAGAGAUGAAAGUAAUGUAACCAAUGUUACCUUUGUGUCCUGAACCACAGAACUGUCCUGAAGGCUGCAGCACAUCUGGAAUGGUGAGUCCAUAACAAUCUUGGAUAACUGUCUCAAUCUAUUCUUCACUUCAGUGUACUCUAGGUUAAACACAUCUCACUGCUAGACAUGCCUGUCUGAUUCUUAUGUACGCUGUGCACUUCAUGAAACACUUUUUUUGAAAAGCAACGCUGCUAGAGCAUCUCUAAUCUGUCUUGUGACAUUGCUUAUCUCAAUCAGAAUACACACAGAUACAACAUAGCCUCCUACCACAGGCUGCACUAACUUCCUUUGCUCUCUCAUUUCAAUUAGCAAAACCUGGUUGUGUUGUCUCAUUUAUAUUUUUUUGUAAAAAAAAAAGGCUUUAUUUAACUAGGCAAGUCAGUUAAGAACAAAUUCUUAUUUACAAUGACAGCCUACCGGGGAACAACCUUGUCAGCUUGAUCCAGCAACCUUUUGAUUACUGGCCCAAUGCUCUAAUCACUAGGCUACCUGCCACGACAUAUCACAGUAUAUUAAUUCCUAAUGUGAUGGAUUGGUCUCUGCUAAAGGAAUGUUAACCUAGAUGUAUGUAUUGCAGUACAAUUGUUAUAUUAAACAAUUCUGUCAACUGUGUUUUCUAACAUUUACUUAUCUCUGUAGGAUCUAAAAUGCCAGUGUCUCCAAAUCCCCAUCACAUCAGUGGGAACAUGCACAGCAGACUACUUCAAACAGGGACUGGAGUCACUGCAGAGUGUGCAUCGUAUCGCAGGCCUACUGAAGAAAAGAUUAGGGAUUCAUUGGUCCAAGGUAAGUUAUCUCCCCAUAACAUGCACAGAAUUGUUCAAAAUGCACUGAAUUGUUCUUAGAUGGGCCCCCGGAGAGGCGCACCGGUCUAAAGCACUGCAGUGCUUGAGACGUCACUACAGAUCCGGGUUCGACCCCGGGCUGUGUCGCAGCUGGCCGCGACUGGGAGACCCAUGAGACGACACACAAUUGGCCUUGCGGUUAGGGGAGGGUUUGGCCGGCUGGGAUGUCCCUGUCCCAAUGCGCUCUAGCAACUCCUGUGGCGGGCCGGGUGCAUGCAUGCUGACACGGUCACCAGUUGUACAGUGUUUCCUCUGACACAUUGGUGUGGCUGGCUUCCGGGUUAAGCAAGCACUGUGUCAAGAAGCAGUGCAGAGGGUCGUGAUUCAGAGGACGCAUGGCUCUCUCCCGUAUCCGUACGGGAGUUGCAGCAAUGGGACAAGACUCUAACUACCAACUGGAUAUCAUGAAAAAAGGGCUUAAAAAAAGAUUUGUUCUUAGACUAUAAUGACAUUCUGGACAUGGCAGAGAAAAACUGAAAAGCCAUGAAAUUACUGUUACAUUGUUCACAAUUACAAAGAUCUUACCAGAUGUAUGUGUUAUUCUCUGUCAUUGAAGGGCUUUCAACUGGCCCUGCACUGUGAACCAGUGGUGUCUCCGAAGAUGUUCCUGCAGCAGCUGAAACAAGUGUUUGAAUUUAUCAACACCUCCGCUCUACACCCAACUGAUCAACUAUAACAACAUUUGAUUCUAUAUUAUUUUCUUUAUCAUUUCUUUAUUAACUAUUUAUCAAUUUGAAAUUGUAUUGCUAAUAAUUGGAUUAACACCUGGAAGACAUAUCUGCUACUGUGUUUGCUGUUCCUGUAUUGACCGGAUUGUGAAAUGACCAGUAAAUUAGAUACUAUAGCCUAGGUCUGAAUGUAGGUCUAUGUAUGGCAAAGUGCAUCACAGAUAAAUCUGUCUGAAGAAUAUUAGAGCCAUAUCGUUGGUUGACCUUUACUUUCUGGUGUUGAUCUUUCAAUUCUAGUGGUUAGAAACAAAGACAAUUUCUAUCUCAUCCUAAACCAACAUUAUAC
rnacentral:lncRNA from 13 species